rnacentral:lncRNA from 1 species
AAAACCUUUUGAAAUAUUUAAAAUUUUCAGAAGAAUCAAACCUUUUAAAAAGCAAUGAGAGUAUUUUGUGACUGGAAUGGGGGUCCCCUAGUUUUGAAGAAGAGAAAAUAGAAGCUAGCAAGGGAAGUGUGUACUCAGAGUCAUCAUUCCCUGGGCUUUGCAUGGAGGUGGGCUUUGCAUCUUGUCAUGGGGCUUCCAAAUCCAUACAGCCCUUAAAAUUCUAGCAGAUAGGUCACAUGAAUGGAAGAAACAGGGCCUGGCUCUCAGUUGAUAGAACACUUGCCUCCCAGGCUCAAAGCCCUGAGUCAUCUCCAGGACUAUAUAAAACCAGGUGUGGUGCUUGUGAUAUCACCUGAAGAGGUGGAUACAGGAGGGUCAGAAGUUCAAAGUUAUUCUCCUUACAUGGCUAGUUCUGGGCCAACCUGGGAUGUAGGAGACCCUUGUCCUAUAAAACUAAACCAGGCCAGGCAGUGGUGGCACAUCCCUUUAACCCCAGGACCUGGGAGGCAGAGGCAGGCAGAUUUCUGAGUUCGAGGCCAGCCUGGUCUACAAAGUGAAUUCCAGGACAGCCAGAGCUACACAGAGAAAUCCUGUCUUGAAACCUCCUCAACCCCCCAAAAACAAAACAAAACAAAAAACCUAAACCAGAGACAAAAAUCUAACGUGGUUAUUAAAAUUUUUCUCAUUCUUGACAUUUGAUUAUUUUAAUAAAUGUCUAUGAAAUUGAGCAUGUUACUUACUCCCUAGGGAUCUUGGGUUUUUCCGUUUGUUUUGUUGUGCUCAUUCCUUGAGCCCCAAAAGACCACCAAGGAGUCGAUUCCAAUCCAAUUGCACUAGGGUCUUUAUUCGAGUUCGAGCUGGAGCCUUAUUGUCAUCACUGAAACAGCAGGAUGGGAGGGGGAAGCCCCGAGCCCAGUUUCAAGCAAGCAUUUAUAGAGGCAAGCAAACAAGCCAGGGGCCUUCCAGCUUGGCACACAUCUGAUUAGGGGCUGUUAUGGAAUUUGUUGCUCAUUAAAGCAUGAACAGGGACAGAGCCAGGACGUAAAGAGAGAGAGCUACAUGGUGGGACACACUGGCAGGGAAGUUGGCGUAAGUUUACCUGUCUAACUGAAGGACUGCCACAGCAAAGAGACCAACAGCCUUACACUCUACAGAUUUCUCCAUGUCUUUAUUAGUAAACCUCAAGUAGGCCUCCUUAACCCCCACAAUACAAACCAACCCAAAACCACUCCCCACACACAAAAUAUGUCUUGAAAUCCUUAAUGUAAAUUCUGUGACAAACAGACAAACACGUCAGUCAGUCUUGGACAUAUUUUUAUGACCACAUACCUUUCAUGAGUGAAAGGAACUGUUUAGCACAGCGAUGGAAAGGACAGCAAGCAGGCUAUUUCUAGGUGCCAAGAAUAUCACAUUCUUUCCGAGACAUUUUUUAAUGUGAUCGUAGAGUGAAGGAGAAUGACAUUAAGGUAUUCCUAACUGUGUGGAACAAAGACUGUUUCUAAAAACCGUUAAAAGGCCAAAUUUCUAUAUAUAGUGAAAUGUAUUUUGAAAAUAUAACUAAAAUUAAAUCUUUUUCUUGUCCUUUCGAGAACUUGAUUGUCUGGGGUUGAGUGGUUCUCAGUGCAGCUAAAGCAGCCAUCUUCCCUUCCUGGCUGUCAACCAGUUCCAGCAUUAGACUCUGUACUGUUUCCUGUGUUGUGAGUUUGAAUUAUCUAAGCAACAAAGAUAACAAUGUAGGAACACUGUGGUUUCUUAUUUCCAAUUCUAUUUAAAAGGUGGAGGUGACCCUACCCCUAGUUAAAAGUGUUUAUGUACAUUGCCUAAAUUAAUCAUCUUGUUGGUCAUUGGUAGGUUUAUUAUUUCCUUGGAAGAUAGAAAGUUAUUGUGAGUUAGAGAGGCUAAAUAAUUGUUUAUAAUCAUAUAGCUAAUAAAAGAUUAAGAGCGAAUUUGAGGUCAAGUUAGAAUCUGAGAGAGCAGGAGAUGAACUGGUUCACUCAGUAAGCAACUCCUGAGGUCUUGACCCUGCCACACUGGAACGCUCUAGAGACAUCCCUGGGCCUUUGUGCAGGAGAACAGUGAUGGCCACCAAGCAGAAGCUUCUCUUUUCCUAAAUGACAGCCCAAACUGACCCAAUAGACUUGCAGAAAAUACCAUUAAGAAACGUAAGUUUCUAGGUAUGGUGCUACCCAUCUGUAGUAGUAAGGAGGUAAUAGCUAGAGUCUAAGGCCAGGCUGGAAUACAUGGUGAGGUCUUAAGUCCAGAAAAAAAGGUAAGGUAUAAUAUUGAAUUCCUCUUUUACUUUUUGUUCACUUUAAUUUUUUGAAAAGAUUUUUAAAAUUUUAAUUUGUUUUUAUUUUAUUGCAUCUGUUUAGGUGUUUGCCCACAUUGCAUGUGCCAUGUCCAUGCCUGGUGCCUACAGAAGCCAGAAGGGGGCAUUGGAUCUCCUGGAACUGGAGUUACAGUUGUGAGCCACCAUGUGUGUGCUGGGAAUCAAACCUGGGUUCCCUGGAAGAGCAGCCAGUACUCUUAGAUGUUGAACCAUCUCUCCAAGCCCUUUUUAUCUUUUUAAGCUAUAGCGUGUGUGUGUGUGUGUGUGUGUGUGUAAUGUGCAUAUAGGAGUGCCUGAAUACAUACCACAGUGGGGGUGGGGGGUGAGAGGACAGCUUGGUAGAGUCAGUUCUCUCCUUUUAGUUUUAUUCCUGGAUUCCAGGAAUAGAACUCAGGCCCUUAUGCUUACAUAGCAAGCUCUUUUAUCUCAUCUAUCUUGCUGGCCCUGGAUUACUACUUCUUUAUUUUUUAAAUUUAUUUAUUUUAUUUGUAUGACUAGCUAUCUUCAGACACACCAUAGAAGAGGGCAUCAGGUCUCAUUACAGAUGCUUGUGAGCCACCAUGUGGUUGCUGGGAAUUGAACUCAGGACCUCUGAAAGAGCAGUCGGUGCUCUUAACCUCUGAGCCAUCUCUCCAGUCUGGAUUACUUCUCUUACUAGCAGUUUGGCAGGAGAGUUUUCAGUGUGCAGUUGCUAUAGUUUAACAGGCACAACAAUGCUGCCACUUCCCCAUCUGGAGGCCUCAAGUACUGGUGUUCUUAAGCCUUUCCCUCUGGUCUUCCUGUUUAUAGGUUGUAGUGACAAUUUUGGGAUUUUGUUUUCUUUAAAAAAAAAUCACAUAAAUAUUAUACUAAUAUGUUUUCAUUCUUAAUCCCAGGUAUGGGAUGUAGGCCUGCUUCAGGUAUUCACAGCGCCUGACUAUGUUUGCUUCCUGCUCCAGCAGGCGCAUGCAUGAUUUUACCAGCUAUAGAUACUUUCUGAAAUUGGAAUUCUGGGGAGUUUUCAGAGGGUAUAUAAAUGUUAAUGCCCUGAGAAGCAUGGUUGGUGGUUGGUUGGUGUGGGUUGCUGUUGGUUACAGUUUGUUAAGUAGUCAUGUGCGAAGAAGAAACAAGGAGAUGAAGAAAUUAGCUAUCCUGACAUUGAAGAUCAAACUUUCCCUAAGGAGCUUGUCCCCAAUCAGCAGGAACUAGUCUAACAAUAAUGUCACCCCUUUUCCACCUCAUACUUUAUUCAGGGAUCUCUUUCCUUUCCUCUCUAUCGUUUUUUUUUCUUUCUUAUCUAGAGUUAGGAGGCUGAAAAGGUGGAAGAAAAGGGGUGAAAAAGGGCGGAAGAACAAAGAACCUACAAUGUAGCAUAAAAGAGCUACAAGUGCUGCCCAGACAUGGGGCUAGGCAGAGUGGGAAAUUUGAUUUCAAGUGCGGUAGAGAAAAAGGUAGGAGAAGAUGCCAGCAAAAAAUGUACUGAGGCUUCUACUAUUGGGAUAUUUUCUGCUUUGCACCCACAAGGGAUUUUCUGUAUUUGUUGUUUGUUUGUUUCAAAAAAGUUUGAAAGACUGGCUGAGUUGUGAACAAAGCUAUAUCAGACCUGAUGCAAGGCAGAUGUUGAUAGAGAUCUUGGCAUAUAAAAAUUUGUAUAUCAGUGUAAAAACCAUCAAAGUCAAGAGCAGUACCUAUGGACACGUAUAUAAGGGAUAUGGCCGAUACUGGUUCUAACAUGAACCAUACUAAUAUCAUAGGUCCAGCUAUAGCUAGAGGUCUGAUAUCAAAAUAUCCAGUGCUUCAAUUGUAGGAAAUACGGUCUUUGCAAAGAGACUAUGACCAAGCUGCUAAGAUCUCAGACCUCAAAAUGCUUGGUGCUUUAAUUGUGGAAAAUUUGGUCAUUUGCAACAAAAUUGUGAACAAGGCAUCUCUAAGGCCAAUGGGUUUUCUAAAUAUAAAACAGAAAGAAGGCUUAGGCUUCCAGGGGUGUGCAGGUGAUGUGGCAGGGUUGCCAUUAGACCAAUAAGGAUAGGUCUGAGAGAGAUAUCUAAGGCAAUUUCUUACCAUCAGGAAACAGCAUUGGGGGCCUAACUAGAGACCCCCACAGCAAAAAGUACAAGUUUUUGCCUCUUGUCAGCCAAGAAAUAACAAGCAGAAAAUCCUCAACUAAGUAUCACAAGUCUAAUGCAUGCUACUGCAGACAGUGCUGCUCUAGACUUGGCUAUAGAUAAACAUCUUACACUGUCCCCAAAAGUUCAUUGUUAUAAAAUUACUACUGGGGUUUAUGGUCCUUCACCCUCAGGGACAACAGGGAUGAUCCUGGGAAGGAGUGGGUUGACUUCCUAAGGAUUCAUUGUGUAUUCAGGAAUUACAGAUGAAGAUUUCAAAGGAGAAGUUAAAUUCUGGCCUAUGUACAAAGAGAGAUGUGACUGAACCCAGGUGAGAGGGUUGCUCAGCUGCUAUUGUUUCCCUACAUCAAAGGCAAACCUUCUCCAUGAGAAAGAACAGGAGUGUUUGCAAGUACUGGAAAAUGUGUGUUUUGACAAACGGUAGUUAAUCAUCAGAGGCCAAAAUUAAAAUUGCAAGUAAAUGGUGUAGAAAUAGAAGGUUUGGUGGGUACAGGAACUGACAUAACACAUUUCACAAAAAUCCUGGGAUUCAAAAUGGCCACUUCAAAAGUAAAUGCACAGUUUCUAGAUAUUAGAAAUUUAUCUCAGAUAAAACAAAAUGUACAAUGGCUUAAAUGUGAGACUGAAAGGCCAAACAUAUUUGUUAAAGCCUACAUGGCCAUCAAACCCAUAAAUUUAGGGGAAAGGGAUCUUUCUGAGUGGGUGCUCAGAUUACCAUCCCUGUAAUCCCAGACACAGCCCAUGGUGAAAUAAGGGGUGAAAUGGUAGAUGUUCCUGGAAAAGGUAUUGCUGUAUGUCAUGAAAACCAACCCUAGCCUGUGCCAAUUGUCCCAACACAGGAAAGAACAGGGAUUGAGUUUCCAAAUUUAUAAGGGGGGUCUAUUGACAAAGUAUCAACAGCCCUACCCUUAAAAUGGUUGACUGAUAACCCUGUGCAGGUACAUCAGUGGCCUUUGACUAAGAAGAAAAUUACAGGCACUUGAGUAACUUCAACAUAUAAAUGAGUCUACCAGCCCAUGGAAUUUCCCUGUAUUUUUUAUUAAAAAAAAUGUGGGCUGGUGAGAUGGCUCAGUGGGUAAGAGUACCCGACUGCUCUUCCGAAGGUCAGGAGUUCAAAUCCCAGCAACCACAUGGUGGCUCACAACCAUCCGUAACGAGAUCUGACUCCCUCUUCUGGAGUGUCUGAGGACAGCUACAGUGUACUUACAUAUAAUAAAUAAAUAAAUAAAUAAAUAUGAAUUGGGAAAAUGAAGGAUGUUAAUAGAUUUAAGAUCAGCGAAAAGAGUAAUUUGACCAGCUGGGCGUGGUGGUGCACACCUUUAAUCCCAGCACUCGGGAGGCAGAGGCAGGCAGAUUUCUGAGACCAGCCUGGUCUACAAAGUGAGUUCCAGGACAGCCAGGGCUAUACAGAGAAAACCUGUCUCAAAAAACAACAACAAAAAGUAAUUUGAUCAAUGGGUCCAUUACAGCCUGGAGUUCCUUUAUCUUCUUUAUUACCUAAGGCAUGGUCUAUGAUAAGAAUUGAUGUUAAAAACUGCUUUUUUAAAAAAACUAUUCUCAGCCGGGCGUGGUGGCGCACGCCUUUAAUCCCAGCACUCGGGAGGCAGAGGCAGGUGGAUAUCUGAGUUCGAGGUCAGCCUGGUCUACAAAGUGAGUUCCAGGACAGCCAGGGCUAUACAGAGAAACCCUGUCUCGAAAAACCAAAAAAAAAAAAAAAAAAAACUAUUCUCAUUCAUGAGCAAGAUAGGUAAAGGUUUGCUUUCAUAGUACCUACUUGAAAUAAUGCUUGACCUGUAAAAGGAUAUCAGUGAAAAGUUCUUCCACAGGGAAUGUUAACUAGUCUAACUUCAUGUCAAUAUUUUAUGCAAUAACUGCUAGAAAUAAUUCGUAGGCAAUAUCCUCAAUCCACUAUUGUUACACUGGUGGUAUUUUGUUGGCCGGUUCUGAUGCAGAUACUUUAGAGAGAAAAUGUUUAAGGAAACACAAAGAAAUUAGCCAUUCUGGGGGGUUAUAUUGCUACUGAAAAGCUACAGAAAGGAGAUUCUAUUAACUCCUUGGGUUAUAAAAUAAGUCCCCGGGCAGUGGUGGCACACGCCUUUAAUCCCAGCACUUGGGAGGCAGAGGCAGGUGGAUUUCUGAGUUCGAGGCUAGCCUGGUCUACAAAGUGAGUUCCGGACAGCCAGGGCUACACAGAGAAAGCCUGUCUCGAAAAACCAAAAAAAAAAAUAAAUAAUAAUAAUAAUAAUAAUAAAUAAAAUAAAAUAAGUCAAGAAAAAAUUCAACCACAAAAGGUACAGAUCAGAAGAGAUCAGUUGCAGACUCUUAAUGAUUUUCAAAGAUUAAUGGGAGGUAUUAAUUGACUAUGUCCUACCAUUCAAUUAAUCUCUUAAGAGUUAGAUAAUUUGUUUCAAACAUUACGAGAUUGAGACUUAAACAGUCCAAGUUGGUCAACAGCUGAAGCAGAGAGAGUUAGCUCUGGUAGUACAGAGACUGUGAGAUGUAUAUGUGCAUUGAAUAGAUCCCAAAACUUGACUGUAUUUUGGUUAUUUUGCCUUCAACUCAUUCUCCUACUGUGCUCAUGAUGAGAAAGGAAGAUAGUUUUAUGGACUGGAUUUUCUUAGCACACAAAGUAAAAAAUUACAGACUUACAUAGAAAAAGUUUCUGACUUAAUCAUAAAAAAGAUAGAAUAAGAUUACAUCAAUUGUUGGAAACAGACCUGGCAGAAAUUGUAGUACCUUAUACUAAUAGUAGUUUGUCAUUAUGGUUAAUCAGUGAGGAUUGGCAAAGAGCUUGUAGCAACUAUUUGGGAGAAAUUAACACCAAAUAUCAUAAAAGCAAAAGAACGAAUUGACCUCUCCUACAUAUUAUAAAAGAAACGCGUUCCUCAGGCACCUACAUUCUAUCCUGAUGCAGGAAACUGGGGAUGGCAGGCUCUAAGUCAGACAGGAGGCACUAUUUUUUUCUCCUGUAGACCUCAAACUAGAUUUUACCAAGACGUUUUUCUUCCCAAGUCGUGUGAAAUGUAAAUGUUAAUUGUGUUUUACUCAUCUAAUUAGAUGUGUGAGUUGAGUAUAAAAUAAGCCACUAGCUAUUUCCUCACUAGAGACCAUUUCUCAGGGAUGAGCAAAAUAGCAUCCUUUUGUAAUGAAAGCAAUAUAUGAUAUCAUUUGUGCUGGAGGAAUGAAUUCUUUCUGAGGCUUCUCCCUAAGAAAUGAGGUUGAAAGAUGGGUUAAAUCUUCCCAGAUUCUCUACUCCAGCCUCCAUGUAAACAAAGCAGGUAUUGUACAGUUUAAAAAGAAGUUGGGAUUAUCUCCCAGUCAUCUCUUUCCAUAGGGUUCUGUUGAGAAGAAAAACAAUUCUUUUUUUUUCCCCCCCUGAGACAGGGUUUCUCUGUAUAGCCCUGGCUGUUCUGGAACUCACUCUGUAGACCAGGCUGGCCUCGAACUUAGAAAUUUGCCUGCCUCUGCCUCCCGAGUGCUGGGAUUAAAGGCAUGUGCCACCAUUGCCCGACCGAAAAAUAUUUCUUUUAAAGGGCAUCACUAUAUAGCCCUGGCUGGCCUGGGACUCCCUAUGCAGAUCCGUGGCCUGAAGAGGAAAUUUCUGUUUUCUUUGGAGACUCAGAGUUGUCCUGUGAUGCUCUUCUGGAAGCCGGCUUGUGGGAGGAUGUUUUGCUGAUGCAGACAUGUGAGGGUAUGUUUAGCUGGAGCAGACAGACACGCGGUGGUUUUCGGGAGCUGCCUUGUAAAAAGGCAUGUCCUGUUUUGCUGGAGCAGAUGCUUCAGAGGGCGCAUAUUUAGAAAGAAGGUAAACGUAACUCCACAGGCAGAGCGCGUGCUUGCCUGGGUUCACCUUGCGACACUUUGCUGGUUUCCACUGACCUUUGCUUGUGGGGACUUCGCAGAGACUGGCCUCAUGGUAUCCCCAACCUCGAGCUGAUUUGCCUGUAGGGCCUGGCAGUUUCUGCUGGAUUAUGCUCAUACUGCUGAUCCCUGUUUGGUGACACCAUUGAGCUGCACUGCUGGUACCCUGACGACAAAGGUCGGAACUGCCCCAAAGAAGUACUUCUAAACAGGUCCACACCCCCCAAUUUCCCAUUAAUCUUUCUUUCCUCCUACCUCUGGAAGGUGGACUAGAAUGGAGGUUGAAAUGUUUAAUUACCCUUAUAAAGUAGGUUUUGAAAAAUCUAAGCCUAUAUUGGCCUCAAACUCAGAGAGAUCUGCCAGCCAUUAUGGGUCUAAAAGCUCAGGGUUUUUUGUUUGUUUGUUUGUUUGUUUGUUUUGUUUUGUUUGAUACUUUUUUUUCUUUUUUUUGUUUUUUCGAGGUAUUUCUGUUUUUCAAGUCAAGGAUUCUCUAUGUAGCCCUCGCUGUCCUGGAACUCACUCUGUAGUCCAGGCUAACCUCAAACUCACCAAUCCACCUGCUUCUGCCUCCCAAGUGCUGGGGUAAAUGUGUGCACUAUCACUGCCCAGUUUAAGUUUUGUUUGUUUGUUUGUUUGUUUUUUAAGUCACAUACAGUUCCUGUUUUUCUGUGACUUUUUAUUGUUCUUCAGUAUCAGCUGUUGAAUACCAAUUUCUUGGCUAAAUUUCAUAAGAUGAUAAACCAAAAAUGCUGUAUGGCAAACAUAAAAUCUUUAAAUUUUUUUUCAGAAAUAAUAUGUACACUAUCACUCCAAGUGCCAGAGUGUCACCUAGAGACAGCAAGCCAUCCAUCCUCACACCACCCUAGAAUCUCAUGGAAAGGAACAGAAUAACAGAGUCAAACCCAUUGCUCUCAACUGUCUACAGCAAGAUGCACAAUUUUUCUGUUUCUUCUAAAUAAUUUCCUGGCUUUCUGGCACUCCUAAAUUCAACAAAAUAGCCUGGAACACCCCCACAAAGCCAGCAAUGUCCCUUCACUGUGUUUGUCUUUCCUGAAUUGUGCCAUGCCUGUGUACUUAACCCCUUAAAUGCUCGAAAGGGGCCCUCCUGGUAAGGAAUCAAGUAGGAGGAAAAUAGGGGUAAGAAAAGCCUGUGAGUAGUCUUCGCUUAUACCCAUGACUCAUGUCCUACAGAUGUCACCGCUCUCUUGACCCUGUCCCCAAAGGGAUGAGCCUGCAGUGGGAAGGAGUCAGUGAGCAGAGAAAUUGGAAUGAGUUACUUUCUUCUAGGGGUCGUUUCUUUGGUUUCGGUUUUAACAGAGCCUCAUAGGGCAGCCUGGUUUUGAACUUGUAACCGAGGGUGACCUUGGAGUCUUGAUCCUCCUGCUUAAGCCUCCUAAAUGCUGAGAUUAUAGGCAUGGGCCACCACACCCAUCACUGCUUCGUCAAGAGGUCUUGAGAGAUGAGGAGGUGAUAAUCCCAAUUUUACUUUUCUAUUAACAUUUCUAUUGUAGUUUAUAAUCAGCUUUGUUUUACUAAAGAGUAAUUGGCCAAUAGCCUACUUGUGUGUGAAAGCUGCAUGCUUGAAUCCUUUGAUGAGUGUGUACAAUUGCCAUAAAGUAUACUACUUAAGACAUAGAUUAUUUACCGCUUGGAUUUUACUGGGAACGUAGAAAAUCUACUUUGUACUGCUCGGCCCCCUGUGUGACAUGGGUGGCCAGAGAGAUAUCACACUGCCUCAGAGAGUGCCAGGAAGGAUUCAGAGAAAGCAGAAUUUCUUGUCCUUUGCACCUUGAUGGGCAUGUAUGUCCAGGAGACACAUUUUGCCAUUGGCACUCUUUCAGACUUCCAAGGCCACAGGUCUGCCAGCUGUGCCUUGGGCAUCACCGUGGUUGACUGUUUGCUUCAGAGCCAUAGUUCUGCUGUUUCAUGUCCAGGAUGUUGAUUUUUCUUGGCAGCUGCUCUAACAGUCAUGCGUUUGGAAUGCCUGGCUUUUGAUGAAACAUUACAUCAAAGACCAAGGUAUCCAGUUUCAUAGAUGAUUGCCCAGGCCUUUGGAUGAUGCAAUGCAAAGGACUUGGGUCUUAGCUAUAGCCAGAAUGAGCUCUGACUAACAGAAAUAGGAUUCAAGGGAAGGUGGCAUUUAGUCACUGUUUUUCCUACCUCAUUAGCUCACUGCCCAGUGGUGGCUUUCCAUGUUGCUGAAGUUGUUUCCCUGAAAUUCCUGCCGUUUCUCCCAUUUCCCCUCCCUCUCUUUCUUUAAAAUAAAGAAAAAAGGAAAGAA